UGGGGGAUAUUGCACAAUGGGGGAAACCCUGAUGCAGCGACGCCGCGUGAGGGAAGAAGGUUUUCGGAUUGUAAACCUCUGUCUUCAGUGACGAAAAUGACGGUACCAUAGGAGGAAGCUCCGGCUAACUACGUGCCAGCAGCCGCGGUAAUACGUAGGGAGCGAGCGUUGUCCGGAAUUACUGGGUGUAAAGGGAGCGUAGGCGGGACCUUAAGUCUGUUGUGAAAUCUAUCGGCUCAACUGAUAGCUGCGGCAGAAACUGGGGUUCUUGAGUGAAGUAGAGGCAAGCGGAAUUCCUAGUGUAGCGGUGAAAUGCGUAGAUAUUAGGAGGAACACCAGUGGCGAAGGCGGCUUGCUGGGCUUUUACUGACGCUGAGGCUCGAAAGUGUGGGGAGCAAACAGGAUUAGAUACCCUGGUAGU
rnacentral:rRNA from 1 species